rnacentral:rRNA from 1 species
GUGGGGAAUAUUGGACAAUGGGGGGAACCCUGAUCCAGCCAUGCCGCGUGUGUGAAGAAGGCCUUUUGGUUGUAAAGCACUUUAAGCGAGGAGGAGGCUACCGAGAUUAAUACUCUUGGAUAGUGGACGUUACUCGCAGAAUAAGCACCGGCUAACUCUGUGCCAGCAGCCGCGGUAAUACAGAGGGUGCAAGCGUUAAUCGGAUUUACUGGGCGUAAAGCGCGCGUAGGUCGCCAAUUAAGUCAAAUGUGAAAUCCCCGAGCUUAACUUGGGAAUUGCAUUCGAUACUGGUUGGCUAGAGUAUGGGAGAGGAUGGUAGAAUUCCAGGUGUAGCGGUGAAAUGCGUAGAGAUCUGGAGGAAUACCGAUGGCGAAGGCAGCCAUCUGGCCUAAUACUGACACUCAGACCCGAAAGCGUGGGGAUCAAACAGGAUUAGAAACCCGGGUAGUCC